rnacentral:snRNA from 14 species
UUACUGACCUGGCAGGGGAGAGCCCCUUCUUCCCAGCCCUGAGUGACCCAGUGCAGUUGCAAGGUGAAGGCCUGUCCCUUGCACUGCGGGCAGGCUGAGUCUAUAAAUGCCUCCAAGCGCGAGGAUCUCGGCUACACAAUUUAAGGGGAUGGGGGAUUGCUGUCGGGCUCUCCCUCC